UCCCAGACUCCUACGGGAGGCAGCAGUGGGGAAUAUUGCACAAUGGGGGAAACCCUGAUGCAGCAACGCCGCGUGGGUGAAGGAGCGUUUCGGCGCGUAAAGCCCUGUCAGCGGGGAAGAAGGAAGACGGUACCCGACCAAGAAGCCCCGGCUAACUACGUGCCAGCAGCCGCGGUAAUACGUAGGGGGCAAGCGUUAUCCGGAUUUACUGGGUGUAAAGGGAGCGUAGACGGCCAGACAAGUCAGAAGUGAAAGCCCAGGGCUCAACCCUGGGACUGCUUUUGAAACUGCCGGGCUGGAGUGCAGGAGAGGUAAGCGGAAUUCCUAGUGUAGCGGUGAAAUGCGUAGAUAUUAGGAGGAACACCAGUGGCGAAGGCGGCUUACUGGACUGUAACUGACGUUGAGGCUCGAAAGCGUGGGGAGCAAACAGGAUUAGAUACCCUAGUA
rnacentral:rRNA from 1 species